UACGUAGGGGGCAAGCGUUGUCCGGAUUUAUUGGGCGUAAAGCGCGCGCAGGCGGCGUGCAGAGCCCGGCGUGAAAGCCCCCGGCUCAACCGGGGGAGGUCGUCGGGGACCUGCAGGCUAGAGGCCGGUAGGGGCGAGCGGAAUUCCCGGUGUAGUGGUGGAAUGCGUAGAGAUCGGGAGGAACACCAGUGGCGAAGGCGGCUCGCUGGACCGGUCCUGACGCUCAGGCGCGAAAGCGUGGGGAGCGAUCCGG
rnacentral:rRNA from 1 species